GAAUAUAAAACAGAAAUAUUAUAAUUCCGAAAAGGGCUAACCCUUAACACAUUUAAAGCGUCGAAACGAAAUUUUAAUUCGGCAGACAAUUCUGAUUAGAACUAGAAAAUUUCAAAAAUGAUGAAAAUAUGCUUAAACAAAUUCAAAAUAGAAAAAUGCUAAACAGACCUCUAAAGUUUAAUGAUGUUGGCCAAAGGUAUGAUCGUCACCCCGACAAAUUUGUAGAGAAUUAUAAAAUGCUUUGGGAUUGUACUCCUCCAAAAUCAGACACCUAAGAUGAAAGAUACGCCUGCUUUUGUAGGCCAUUCGUAUUUCUACUAUUUUCAAAUUGGUUUAUGAUCUCCUCUUCUAAUUGUUCGUCAUCAGACUUCCAAACUGAAACCAAGAAGUUUUUGCAACAACAUAAUGAUAAGAGUGAUAUUGUUUUGAGACAUGAAGAUGUAAUUUUAUUCUGAAGUCGAACCCUGAAUAUUUUUGUUGUUUAGUUAUUUAUGAAAUUACAAACAACAUCAUCUUUCGGCAUUGAACCAAAGAAAGAGCAAAUGUCAAGUAACACCAGCAUAAUUAAGAAUAGAUGAACAAACAGAUUAUAAGACUUCUUAUUUUUACCGAUCCAUCUAGUUUUAGCUCUGCCACCUCCCCUAUCUGGUGACACAGAAGUUAAUUAGUAGUGCCUUCGCCUGGUGGUUGGAGUCAGCCCAUCAGUUGCGGUACCGGUGGCUUUAAGUUUUUCCGGCAGAUUGGACAUGUCCUGUGUCCAUAUCGUACCCACCUAUCUAAGCAAACUCUGUGAUAAAGAUGGUUGCAUCCCAGCUCUUUAACUUCAUCCCCUUCACCAAUUCUGCAUAAGCAAACAGCACACUCUUCGGAUGAAUCUCCACACUUUGCAUUGUUAUUAUUUUCGUAACGCGUUACAGUAAGAUCAUCAACAUAGUCUGGUAAUUCGACUAUUUCACGAGGCUGAAAGGAGGACUGCAGAAGAAGGUAAUCACAUGCUAAAAUCAGUUGGCGUGCAAUCAGAAUUAUGUAUUUUAAUACAACAGAAUUUGGCUGCAGCCUCAUCUGAAACAUUGUAUAUCGAGAGAAUAUAGUUUCUUGGAAUAUAAUGCUAUGUUGCUGUGGAAAAUUUUUAGACAGUGAAAUUCUUGGGCAUUGUUAGUGGGGUUAUAUAUGGUUUUGA
rnacentral:lncRNA from 1 species